CGGUAAGGCCCUUCGGGGUACACGAGCGGCGAACGGGUGAGUAACACGUGGGUGAUCUGCCUCGCACUCUGGGAUAAGCCUGGGAAACUGGGUCUAAUACCGGAUAUGACCUUACAUCGCAUGGUGUUUGGUGGAAAGAUUUAUCGGUGCGAGAUGGGCCCGCGGCCUAUCAGCUUGUUGGUGGGGUAAUGGCCUACCAAGGCGACGACGGGUAGCCGGCCUGAGAGGGCGACCGGCCACACUGGGACUGAGACACGGCCCAGACUCCUACGGGAGGCAGCAGUGGGGAAUAUUGCACAAUGGGCGAAAGCCUGAUGCAGCGACGCCGCGUGAGGGAUGACGGCCUUCGGGUUGUAAACCUCUUUCGACAGGGACGAAGCGCAAGUGACGGUACCUGUAGAAGAAGCACCGGCCAACUACGUGCCAGCAGCCGCGGUAAUACGUAGGGUGCGAGCGUUGUCCGGAAUUACUGGGCGUAAAGAGCUUGUAGGCGGCUUGUCGCGUCGAUCGUGAAAACUUGGGGCUCAACCCCAAGCUUGCGGUCGAUACGGGCAGGCUUGAGUACUUCAGGGGAGACUGGAAUUCCUGGUGUAGCGGUGAAAUGCGCAGAUAUCAGGAGGAACACCGGUGGCGAAGGCGGGUCUCUGGGAAGUAACUGACGCUGAGAAGCGAAAGCGUGGGUAGCGAACAGGAUUAGAUACCCUGGUAGUCCACGCCGUAAACGGUGGGUACUAGGUGUGGGUUUCCUUCCACGGGAUCCGUGCCGUAGCUAAC
rnacentral:rRNA from 1 species